UAGGGAAUCUUCCACAAUGGACGAAAGUCUGAUGGAGCAACGCCGCGUGAGUGAAGAAGGGUUUCGGCUCGUAAAACUCUGUUGUUAAAGAAGAACAUAUCUGAGAGUAACUGUUCAGGUAUUGACGGUAUUUAACCAGAAAGCCACGGCUAACUACGUGCCAAG
rnacentral:rRNA from 1 species